rnacentral:rRNA from 1 species
UCUAUGUCGGCGACCGGCGCACGGGUGCGUAACGCGUAUGCAACCUACCCAUUACAGGGGGAUAACACUGAGAAAUCGGUACUAAUACCCCAUAACAUCCAGGGAGGCAUCUUCUUGGGUUGAAAACUCCGGUGGUAAUGGAUGGGCAUGCGUUGUAUUAGUUAGUUGGUGGGGUAACGGCUCACCAAGACAACGAUACAUAGGGGGACUGAGAGGUUAACCCCCCACAUUGGUACUGAGGCACGGACCAAACUCCUACGGAAGGCAGCAG